rfam:Pteropus alecto contig779, whole genome shotgun sequence.
GUCUACAGCCAGGCCACCCUGAACAAGCCCAAUCCCGUCUGCUCUCGGAAGCUAGGCAGGAUCGGGCCUGGUUAGUACUUGGAUGGGAGACCACCUAGGAAGACCAGGUGCUGUAGGCG